rnacentral:misc_RNA from 1 species
GCGGGGAAAAAGCCAUGCAAUAAAACUAUCAACAUGUUCAGAUUCAUUACUACAAAAAGCUUGUCAAGGUUACAAAAUUACGAAAAUUUGUUUAAAAUGCGGGAAAUAUUUAUGCGGCAAAUGUACAUUUGAUAAUAAGAUAAUUUGUAAAAAAUGUAGCGAAAUUGAAUAGGAUAUAUCUCUAUAUAAAUAAAAAUGUAAUUCUAUUUAAGUCUAUAAUUGAAAUUAAACAAAAGCAAAUUUGGACGAAAUUUUAUGAAAGUUCAUCAUUUUAUAUACAUUUAGUUAUAAAUUAACCAUUAUCUAAGUUAAAUCAUUACUUCUUUAAUCACCGGUCAUUUUGACCGCACACGGUAGGAAUAGGUAUACACAAAGUGUCGGUAGCUUUAGUGUUAA